rnacentral:tRNA from 1 species
GUCGAUUAGGUGUGUAACAUACUAGUUUUUCGUGCUAGGGUAGGUCUUUUAAGGCUAAUCGAUG